CCUACGGGAGGCAGCAGUGAGGAAUAUUCGUCAAUGGCCGUAAGGCUGAACGAGCCAAGUAGCGUGAGGGAAGACUGCCCUAUGGGUUGUAAACCUCUUUUAUGCGGGGAUAAAGGUGUCCACGUGUGGAUGUUUGCAGGUACCGCAUGAAUAAGGACAGGCUAAUUCCGUGCCAGCAGCCGCGGUAAUACGGUAGGUCCGGGCGUUAUCCGGAUUUAUUGGGUUUAAAGGGAGCGUAGGCCGGUCUUUAAGCGUGCCGUGAAAUUUUGUGGCUCAACCAUGAGAGUGCGGCGCGAACUGGGGAUCUUGAGUGGGCGAGAGGUAUGCGGAAUGCGUGGUGUAGCGGUGAAAUGCAUAGAUAUCACGCAGAACUCCGAUUGCGAAGGCAGCAGACCGGCGCCCGACUGACGCUGAGGCACGAAAGCGUGGGGAUCGAACAGGAUUAGAUACCCCUGUAGUC
rnacentral:rRNA from 1 species